GACGAACGCUGGCGGCGUGCUUAACACAUGCAAGUCGAACGGUGAAGCCCUGCUUGCUGGGUGUGUUAGUGGCGAACGCGUGAGUAACACGUGAGCAACGUGCCCGCUACUCUGGAAUAACUCCCGGAAACGGUGGCGAAUACUGCGUAUGUGCCAGGGAGGCAUCUCCUCUGGGUGGGAAGAUUUUGCGGUUUCGGAUCGGCUCACGGCCUAUCAGCUUGUUGGUGGGGUAAUGGCCUACCAAGGCCACGACGGGUAGCCGGCCUGAGAGGGUGACCGGCCACACUGGGACUGAGACACGGCCCAGACUCCUACGGGAGGCAGCAGUGGGGAAUAUUGCACAAUGGGCGCAAGCCUGAUGCAGCAACGCCGCGUGAGGGAUGACGGCCUUCGGGUUGUAAACCGCUUUUAGUAGGGAAGAAGCGCAAGUGACGGUACCGGCAGAAAAAGCACCGGCUAACUACGUG
rnacentral:rRNA from 1 species